rnacentral:misc_RNA from 1 species
UAGUAGUACUAAUAAUUCUUGUUAUAGUACCCCUUUAAAUUCUCCACCAAAAUUGAAUCUUUCUAUGAGAGGUAAUUUACCACCAACACAAUUUACUACUGAUCCUGGAUUUGCAGAAAGAGCUGCUAGAUUUUCUUGUUUUGCUACAAAUUUAGAAAGUAAUCAUUCCAUCAAGAUUCAAGAUGUCAAUUUGGUUCAAAGAAAUUCUGAAUUUGGAGAUUCAAGAGAAAAUUCAUCACUUUCUGAGCAA